rnacentral:lncRNA from 1 species
UCCUUCCGGUCUGAACAGUGAACUCCUCCGCAUGGACUCACGGGUUCACCUCCUUCCGGUCUGAACAGUGAACUCCUCCGCAUCGACUCACGGGUUCACCUCCUUCCGGUCUGAACAGUGAACUCCUCCGCAUGGACUCACGGGUUCACCUCCUUCCGGUCUGAACAGUGAACUCCGCAUCGACUCACGCGUUCACCUCCUUCCGGUCUAAAUGGUAAACUCCUCUGCAUUUUCUGUUCGGUUCUAUUUUGGUGGGGCCCACGCGUCAUCACAGAGUAUCUGGGAGCCCUGCCCUCUUGCAGAUGGGAAUGAAGGCCCAGGUGCUCUGGAGAGGUGACUCUCCUCUAGGAAACACUGGUUCUGUAAACCUGUUUGAGAAGAAAAGCUCGAGGUUUCUUGGCCUCUCUGCUUCUGGAGCCAGGGGAAAAAAUAGCCCCAGGCUGAAGACAGGAGGGACCAGAUUGCUGCUUGGUGAUGCGAUCUCACUGCAGAGGCAGCCAGGAGACCCUCCUGAGACGAAUCGGAGAGUCCAUGCUGCUUUUACACACAUCCUAGUUCUUUUAUAACUAGCCUUUUCCUAUUAACGGACAUCAUUCAAAAGCCAGUUUUAAGCAACAUAAAUAUUGAAAACAAUACUAUACUAUUUAGAAUUAAUUAUAAGUUUUGUUUUUAAAGCCUAAAUCUUUUAUUGUUGUUUGAACCCUGGGCACUGAAGCUAAUAAUGUAACUUUUCUCCCUUCUUUCUUCUUUGGCAUAGAUUUAAAGAACUGUUAGACUCAUUUAAAAUGCUAUUAGGCAUUUUAAAGAGUAAUUGUUAAAUGUGUUGUCUCUUGUGGGACUGGAAAUGUUCUGUUCUUAUCUGGCGCUGGUUACAUCCUGUUUUUCAUUUGGGAAAGUGCAUUGAGCUGGAAAUUUAUAUGUUCAAUUUCUGUAUGUAAAUUGUACUUCAGUAAAAAUUUUCAAAAAA